ACCUACGGGGGGCAGCAGUAGGGAAUUUUCGUCAAUGGGCGCAAGCCUGAACGAGCAAUGCCGCGUGAACGAGGAAGGUCUUCGGAUCGUAAAGUUCUGUUGAAGGGGAAAAAGAGCGGAGAGAGGAAAUGGUCUCCGAUUGAUAUUACCCUUCGAGGAAGUCACGGCUAACUACGUGCCAGCAGCCGCGGUAAUACGUAGGUGGCGAGCGUUAUCCGGAAUGAUUGGGCGUAAAGGGUGCGUAGGCGGCCUGCUAAGUCUGGUGUGAAAGGUACCGGCUCAACCGGUACAGGCUCUGGAAACUG
rnacentral:rRNA from 1 species